GGCAGAGCUGAAGCUGGGUCUCAAAGCCAGUGCAGGUGGCAGAGGAAGGACAUGGAGCUCAAGCCAAAGGCACCAGGGCCGCGUCUCCCACCCUGCAGCUCAUGCCUGAGGCCAACAGGGGCUGGAAAGAAGACCUGGAGAGGCUCCUGCUCCUGCUCAGGAGGCUCUGGUUUGUCUGACUUUGGGCCCCAGGUGAACCCUCUCUCUGGAACUCAGUUCUCGUGCUUGGAAAUGGGGCAUUGGGCCCAGAUCUCCUUGGAGGCCCUGCCAACCUGGACUUCUUGCUCUGAGUGGAGCCCAAGUCUGUCUGGGCCUCAGAUGGGAGUCAUAUACUUCCUGGGCUCUCUUGGGCUUGGCUGCUGAUGAAAAAUUUCUGCCCAGCUUCCCUGUGCUUUUUGGAGUUUUGGGCCCUGGAAGCUGAGUGUCAUACUUAAUUAUUCAGAAACCCAUGUAU
rnacentral:lncRNA from 1 species